UAAACCUCUUCUGGAGCUCACCUAAUUCAUGAAAACUCUGUAACUCAGGUGCCUUCAUUUGGGUUCCUAGAAACAGGCGCCAAGACAGGAGCUCAAGCCCAGGAAGUGUUUCUGGCCUCAGAGUUCUGGAGAGGGGGGCGGCGGUCAGCAAAGCUGGUUGUCAAGGAGAUCACCGCCUCGGACCCCCGUGGCUCCUUCCUGGGGCUGGAGGGCUGGGGUGGGGAGCUCGGCCAUCCUCCAGCAGGAGGAAGCUGGGUCCCGGGACUCCCCUUCCCGCCCGGUUCCCACAGCCACGCCCACCCCCACUCCACCCUGUGGGUGCUUCCUGUUCUCACACUGUGCCUUUCCAGGAAGCCUUCCUGGGCCGCUGCCACCGCCGCCGCCGCUCCUCCCCCUGCCCUCAGCGGGGGACAGAGAACGUGCUGGGCUUGGCUGCCCUGCUCCGUCAGACUGGACAGGCCCGGGGCGAGGGCCUAGUAGUCCCCUGCCCCUGCUGUCGGGGCUCAGCUCACAGAGGUGCAGACGCAGAGCCCUCAGUCUUCUCACCCUGCCUGGCUCAGCACCCUGGGUGACACUGCUACCUACUUGGCGCUUUCAGAGCAGGUCCAGACACCCCAAGUGUCUCCCAGAGCCGCAGCCCCCCAAGGACCCAGAGCAGACCCCCCGAGCCAGCAGGGACAGGAGCGCGUCCUCUGCUGCAGAUCCGUGAAGCAGUGGGAGAAACCGAAGGGUUCGUGCCUGGGCUGUGAGCAUCUUCCCCAAGGGGCCUUGUGGAGAAAGACGGAGCACAGCUACAGCAGCCGCCACCUAAGGAAAUGACGGGGUGACGCCACUGGCAAGAGCACACGUAGGGUCUCUGUGCAGCACGGCGGGUUGCGUGGGAAACCCCAGGGUCGUUUCCAUGGGUUCCUCGAUAAAAUGCACGGUGACCUCAGCGUGACCACGGGAAAAUUCCAAUGGGGACAUCGUGCAAGGUCACUGGUCAGGGCUCUUCACCAGGAUCAAGGUCACCAAGGACAGAGAAGACCUAGGAGCCAUCACAGACUGGGGAAGAUGGGUGCGGCAUGGGACCGGAAUUGUUCCCUGCCACAGAAAGGACACAAGUGGAGAAUCGGUGUCUGAAAAAAAAAAAGACCAGAUUGAAAAUUGUACAGAGCUCAUCUGGCCUGGUGGCGCACACCUGUGAUC